rnacentral:rRNA from 1 species
UACGUAGGGUGCGAGCGUUAAUCGGAAUUACUGGGCGUAAAGCGUGCGCAGGCGGUUCGCUGUGUCCUGUGUGAAAGCCCCGGGCUUAACCUGGGAAUGGCAUGGGAAACUGGCGGGCUGGAGUGUGGCAGAGGGGGGUGGAAUUCCGCGUGUAGCAGUGAAAUGCGUAGAGAUGCGGAGGAACACCGAUGGCAAAGGCAGCCCCCUGGGCUAACACUGACGCUCAGGCACGAAAGCGUGGGGAGCAAACAGG